UGAGCUUCUUCUGGGCCAGCCAUUGUUUCAUGGGGAAAAUGCUGUAGAUCAACUUGUUGAGAUCAUCAAGGUUCUUGGUACUCCAACACGAGAAGAAAUUCGAUGCAUGAAUCCAAAUUAUACGGAUUUUAGAUUCCCACAGAUUAAAGCUCAUCCGUGGCACAAGAUUUUCCACAAACGGAUGCCUCCUGAAGCAAUUGACCUUGCUUCUCGGCUUCUUCAAUAUUCACCUAGUCUUCGUUGCACUGCACUUGAAGCUUGUGCACAUUCUUUCUUUGAUGAGCUACGUGAGCCUAAUGCCCGCCUUCCAAAUGGUCGGCCAUUGCCGCAUCUUUUCAACUUCAAACAGGAACUGUCAGGAGCUUCACCUGAAUUGAUCAACAGGCUCAUACCUGAACAUGUGAGGAGGCAGAGUGGUCUCAGCUUCCCGCAUCCAGCUGGUUCUUAAAUGUAAAGUAAUUGAACGAGGACUCUCCUUUUCUGCUAGU
rnacentral:misc_RNA from 1 species